rnacentral:lncRNA from 1 species
CUCUAGGGUAGUCUGGAAAUACCCUAACAGUGCAGAUAUACUGGCUCUGGUUGAAGUCUCGGUAUUGUUCCUCCACUGUGUACUCUGGGUACCAGCGGUAACCGCACACCGACAUCACCCUGACCGGCAUGGCCGUAUGACUCGACACAUCAAUGCACCUGGUCAGACGAACCACCUGACGAGAAGGACGGCCAGGCAUCUGAAAAUAGAGAGUAAUGCAAAAGCAUUAGAGCUCUGAAUGCAAAAUUGGGCAGCAUAACGGCUGUAAAUGCUCAAAAUAAUUUUGAGACAACCCCACAAAUAGGAUAGCGUAACCACUCAACUAUCAAGUUCAAUUCUCUGAUCGUGAAACUUACUUCCUUUUCCUAGGAAUAAAAGAAACCCAAAAUCUAUCGACCCGUAGUCUUAUAAU